AACGAACGCUGGCGGCAUGCCUAACACAUGCAAGUCGAACGAGACCUUCGGGUCUAGUGGCGCACGGGUGCGUAACGCGUGGGAACCUGCCCUUAGGUUCGGCAUAACUCCCCGAAAGGGGUGCUAAUACCGGGUAAUGUCUUCGGACCAAAGAUUGAUUGCCUUUGGGUGGGCCCGCGUUGGAUUAGCUAGUUGGUAGGGUAAAAGCGUACCACGGCGACGAUCCAUAGCUGGUCUGAGAGGAUGAUCAGCCACACUGGGACUGAGACACGGCCCAGACUCCUACGGGAGGGAGCAGUGGGGAAUAUUGGACAAUGGGCGAAGGGCUGAUCCAGCAAGGCCGGGUGAGUGAUGAAGGCCUUAGGGUUGUAAAGCUCUUUUACCCGGGAUGAUAAUGACAGUACCGGGAGAAUAAGCACCGGCUAACUACGUG
rnacentral:rRNA from 1 species